AUGUUUGUGCCGCAAGGAGAUGCCCUGGUCCUUGAACCCUUACGAAGAUCAAAGUCUUGUCAUGGUGACGGGUUCUGCGAUGCACCAUCUUUUGACCUCGGCAUAGAUGGUGAUGCUCCAGCACCUGCUCCAGCAGCAGAAAUAGCGGAAGCCGGUGUGAUUUGCAUUGAUGAGUGUGAGUUGGACCUAGCAGCUGUGAAUGAAGGAUGUGCUGCUACUAAUGCUGGCAAGGCAAUAGCUCAAGAGCUAGAUGUUGGUUCACCAGAGAAUUGCCACACCCCGAUAUGCGCAAAAUCAGAAGAUGGCACGAGCAGUUCUUCGGGACCACAUAUUGCACGAAGACAGAGGAGGGUAAUAAGGCCCGCAACAUCUCAAAGGUCUCCAUUCAUUGACUACAACAAGAAGAAGACUUUCAGCUCCAAUGAGGCAAUGAACAAGCUUUACGCUGCCCUCUUGUAUUGGGUCAGGCAUCACAAAGGAGCAAAUGAUGAAGCUACCAGCCUUGAGAUAAUCAGGUAUGGUGCUUUCUACAUUUCUUUAAAGGAGUUAGUUGAUUCGAUGAAGCCGGUUCAAUGGUUAUAA
rnacentral:rRNA from 1 species